rnacentral:rRNA from 1 species
AUUGAACGCUGGCGGCAGGCCUAACACAUGCAAGUCGAACGAGAGGCGGACGGGUGGGUAAUGUAUUGGAAACUGCAUACUCGACGGGGAUGACUACUGGAAACGGUAGCUAAUAUCGCAUACUCUACGUUGUGCCCAGAUGGGAGUAGCUAGUAGCGGGGGUAAAGGCUAACCUAGGCGACGAUCCCUAGCUGGUCUGAGAGGAUGAUCAGCCACACUGGGACUGAGACACGGUCCAGACUCCUACGUGAGGCAGCAGUAGGGAAUAUUGCACAAUGGGCGCAAGCCUGAUGCAGCCAUGCCGCGUGUAUGAAGAAGGCCUUCGGGUUGUAAAGUACUUUCAGCGGGGAGGCGUUACCCGCAGAAGAAGCACCGGCUAACUCCGGGCCAGCCGCCGCGGUAAUAC